rnacentral:rRNA from 1 species
UAUUGGCAAAACGCWGCGAYGAACGGCAGACUCCUACGGGAGGCAGCAGUAGGGAAUCUUCCGCAAUGGACGAAAGUCUGACGGAGCAACGCCGCGUGAGUGAUGAAGGUUUUCGGAUCGUAAAGCUCUGUUGUUAGGGAAGAACAAGUACCGUUCGAAUAGGGCGGUACCUUGACGGUACCUAACCAGAAAGCCACGGCUAACUACGUGCCAGCAGCCGCGGUAAUACGUAGGUGGCAAGCGUUGUCCGGAAUUAUUGGGCGUAAAGGGCUCGCAGGCGGUUUCUUAAGUCUGAUGUGAAAGCCCCCGGCUCAACCGGGGAGGGUCAUUGGAAACUGGGGAACUUGAGUGCAGAAGAGGAGAGUGGAAUUCCACGUGUAGCGGUGAAAUGCGUAGAGAUGUGGAGGAACACCAGUGGCGAAGGCGACUCUCUGGUCUGUAACUGACGCUGAGGAGCGAAAGCGUGGGGAGCGAACAGGAUUAGAUACCCUGGUAGUCCACGCCGUAAACGAUGAGUGCUAAGUGUUAGGGGGUUUCCGCCCCUUAGUGCUGCAGCUAACGCAUUAAGCACUCCGCCUGGGGAGUACGGUCGCAAGACUGAAACUCAAAGGAAUUGACGGGGGCCCGCACAAGCGGUGGAGCAUGUGGUUUAAUUCGAAGCAACGCGAAGAACCUUACCAGGUCUUGACAUCCUCUGACAAUCCUAGAGAUAGGACGUCCCCUUCGGGGGCAGAGUGACAGGUGGUGCAUGGUUGUCGUCAGCUCGUGUCGUGAGAUGUUGGGUUAAGUCCCGCAACGAGCGCAACCCUUGAUCUUAGUUGCCAGCAUUCAGUUGGGCACUCURAGGUGACUGCCGGUGACAAACCGGAGGAAGGUGGGGGAUGACGUCAWAUCAUCAUGCCCCUUAUGACCUGRGCUACACACGUGCUACAAUGGARCAGAACAUAGGGCRAGCGRAAAYCGCGAGGRUGARAGCMAAUCCCCACCAAAU